rnacentral:rRNA from 1 species
AGGGUUUGAUCAUGGCUCAGAAUCAACGCUGGCGGCGUGCCUCAGACAUGCAAGUCGAACGAUUAAAGCUCCCUUCGGGGAGUGCAUAAAGUGGCGCACGGGUGAGUAACACGUAAGUAAUCUACCCUCGAGUGGGGAAUAACAUCGGGAAACCGAUGCUAAUACCGCAUAAUGCAGCGGCACCGCAAGGUGACAGUUGUUAAAGAUUUAUUGCUUGAGGAGGAGCUUGCGGCAGAUUAGCUUGUUGGUAAGGUAACGGCUUACCAAGGCUACGAUCUGUAUCCGGUCUAAGAGGACGGUCGGACACACUGACACUGAAUAACGGGUCAGACUCCUACGGGAGGCAGCAGUCGGGAAUUUUGGGCAAUGGGGGAAACCCUGACCCAGCAACGCCGCGUGAAGGAUGAAGUAUUUCGGUAUGUAAACUUCGAAAGAAUAGGAAGAAUUAAUGACGGUACUAUUUAUAAGGUCCGGCUAACUACGUGCCAGCAGCCGCGGUAAUACGUAGGGACCAAGCGUUGUUCGGAUUUACUGGGCGUAAAGGGCGCGUAGGCGGCGCGGUAAGUCACUUGUGAAAUCUCUGAGCUUAACUCAGAACGGCCAAGUGAUACUGCAGUGCUAGAGUGUGGAAGGGGCAAUCGGAAUUCUUGGUGUAGCGGUGAAAUGCGUAGAUAUCAAGAGGAACACCUGAGGUGAAGACGGGUUGCUGGGCCAACACUGACGCUGAGGCGCGAAAGCCAGGGGAGCAAACGGGAUUAGAUACCCCGGUAGUCCUGGCCCUAAAC